rnacentral:rRNA from 1 species
UGGUGAACCAGCGGAGGGAUCAUUACCGAGUUUACAACUCCCAAACCCCUGUGAACAUACCAAUUGUUGCCUCGGCGGAUCAGCCCGCUCCCGGUAAAACGGGACGGCCCGCCAGAGGACCCCUAAACUCUGUUUCUAUAUGUAACUUCUGAGUAAAACCAUAAAUAAAUCAAAACUUUCAACAACGGAUCUCUUGGUUCUGGCAUCGAUGAAGAACGCAGCAAAAUGCGAUAAGUAAUGUGAAUUGCAGAAUUCAGUGAAUCAUCGAAUCUUUGAACGCACAUUGCGCCCGCCAGUAUUCUGGCGGGCAUGCCUGUUCGAGCGUCAUUUCAACCCUCAAGCCCCCGGGUUUGGUGUUGGGGAUCGGCGAGCCCUUGCGGCAAGCCGGCCCCGAAAUCUAGUGGCGGUCUCGCUGCAGCUUCCAUUGCGUAGUAGUAAAACCCUCGCAACUGGUACGCGGCGCGGCCAAGCCGUUAAACCCCCAACUUCUGAAUGUUGACCUCGGAUCAGGUAGGAAUACCCGCUGA